AGUGGUGAAGGAUCUCGACUUGGAGAGAUACAUGGGCCGUUGGUACGAGAUUGCUUCUUUGCCUUCCAUUUUUCAGCCCAAGAACGGUAUUGACACUCGCGCCACCUACACCCUCAACCCUGACGGCACGGUUGAUGUCUUGAACGAGACGUGGAACAGUGGCAAGAGAGUUUUCAUCCAAGGCUCAGCAUACAAGACUGAUCCUAAGAGCGACGAGGCUAAGUUCAAAGUUAAGUUCUACGUCCCUCCUUUCCUCCCUAUCAUUCCUGUCACUGGAGAUUACUGGGUGUUGUAUAUUGAUCCUGAGUACCAGCACGCCGUCAUCGGCCAGCCUUCAAGGAGUUAUCUCUGGGUAUGUCUUGUUGUGUUUUGUCUCUUUAUGAUGAAUAUGAUAGAAAAAGCUAAGGAUUGAUAUUGAGUAUGUGGGAUAUGUGGUGUAGAUACUGAGCAGGACGGCGCAUGUGGAGGAAGAGACAUACAAGCAGCUGCUGGAGAAGGCGGUGGAGGAAGGGUACGACGUCAGCAAGCUUCAGAAGACCCCUCAGAGUGACACACCACCUGAGUCCAACGCUGCUCCUGACGACACCAAGGAUCAAAUGUUAAAAUAGACCACAAGGGGUCAAAAAAUCUGAUAUAGACCUAUUGUUUUUUUAUUUUAAUAAUGAAUUAAAAAUAAAUAAAAAUUAGGGAGAAAAGACCAUGAGACCUAAUAACUUAAACAUAUUUACUAACCUAUGCCAUUGCAAUUCUACCCAGAUUUUGAUCCAGAUUCUGAUCCGGAUCCAUACCCAAACCCGAUCCAACUCUAACCCUAGUCUUCUUCUUCCUCCUCUUUUCUUCUCCAUUAAUGUUCUUUCACCUUAAGAAAAAGUAAAAAAAUUUCUUUAACCAUCCUCCAAUUUUCUCUUUCUUAACCCAAAUCGAACAACCCAUACUCAUAUUUAAUCAAUUAUAUCUUAUUUAGAAUCAAAUAUCAUCUUUUAUGAACGAGAUUUAAAAUAAAGAAGAACGCGAAGUAUAACUAAUACAACUAGUAUAACUCCAAUUGGUACGGCUAGUACAACUCCAACUCAUACAAUUAGUACAAAUCAAAUAGGUACAACUAGUACAACUAAAACAAAUAUAACUAGUAAAAAUAUAUUGAGUAUAGCCAAUAUAGCUAAUACAAGAAAAACGUGUAUAACUAAUAGAACUUUACAAUAAUUUGGUGAUCUUUAUUUUUUUAUUAUCAGCAUAUAAAAAUGAUAGAAAAAGGAUAAUUUAGAACCAAUAAGACAUGUUGGUCUAAUCUUUCCCCGCCUGCAUGUAUCAAAUACAUGAAUUAUAUUUUUAAUAAUAUUUGGAUUGGAUAAUGAUUUAUUUACGAGUUGUACAAGUUACACUAUUGUACUAUUUUCGAAAAAAACAUCAUCAUCUUUUUGUUCUCAAAAAGUAGAUGUGGAUACAAAAAAGUAUUCAACCAUGGUUCCAAAAAACACGAGUCACUGGAAAAAUAAAAAGAAGGGAGCAUCGGCGAUGAGUAAGAGUGACCAUCAUCGAUGGAGAAAAUGAUGGCCUCUAUUGUGAAGAAGAGAGAUGCCGCAUCAAAAAAUAAAAAAGAUGCAGUGAAGAAAAAGAGAGAUGCGGCAAAGAAGAGUGUAGUCGUGGCGAAAAAGAGGAAACUCGACGGUGGUGUCCAUGGUGGGUCUUCGUCAAAUCCAAACAAACAGGCUCGGAACUGCAAGAGAGAAACCACAUCUCCACCGGACCCUCAAUGCGAUCUUUUCCCGGAACCAUCAAUGGCUUCUUCAUUUCAGCCCACUAGUAAGCCCCAUAAAUCAUCAAGUCAACCCAAAAAUUCAGAUGUAUUUUGGUAUAACUAAUGCAACAAGUUCAACUACACUGUAAUAUAUAAGAAUAGUACAACUACUCGACAUUAGUGUUUCAAUCAAAAUAUUUAAAAUAAGAUACACAUUCAAAACGUGAUGCAUAUUUAAAACAAUAUUAAAUUAAAUAACAAGUAGUUAUACCAGUUUUCUAGUUGUAUCGGUUGUGCAUAGUUGUACUAGUUUUUGAGUUGUACCACUUUGUGCAUAGUUGUACUUCGGCAGUAAAAACCAAAAUAUUAGUUGUUCCACAUAAUAAAUAUAUUUACCUCAGUUGUACCACUUAUUUAUGUUUUCAUGCCUUUGCCCGGUUAUAAUGAAAUCAUCAAUUUUGUAAAAAUACAUUUCAUGUAUGUUUUCCAAAAAUUAUGCGGACAAACAAGUUAACAAACCUUAAAAGUAUAAGGUAUAUCAUGUAAACUUCUGGAAUUGUGUAAUAACUUAUAUUUUAUUUUUCCAAAACUUAAAAUAAAUUAAGAGAAACUUUUUGAGUACAUACCAAUUGGGAUAUUUGUUUGUUUUUCUCAUAUGGUAUAUCAAAUUGGUUUUGUCAAUUUCUAAAAUGUUAAAGUUGUACUAGUUGUACCAGUAAUACUCAUCAAAUAUAUAAUAAAUAUUAUAUCAAUUGUGUAUAUAUCUAGUUUUAGGGGCUGUACCAAUAUUUUACAUCAUAGGUUUGUAAAAAUAUGUUUGAUGUUUGUUUAUCAUAAUAAUAUGGCUAAUGUAGUUAAUAAACCUGAAAAGUAUGAAAUAUAUAAUGUAAAAUUAGGAGUAUAAUAUAGUAAUUUAACAACAAUCUGAAAAUUCUAAAUAAAAUAGAUGAAAUUUUCUCAUCAUAUACCAAUUAGGAUAUUUGCUUGUCUAUUUUAUAUGUGAAACAUGAUUUAUUAGUCGUGUCUAGUAGCUACAUAUUAUACAUAAAUUAUAACAUUUAUAUACGAGUUAUACCAGUUAUACAAUUUUUAACAAGUUUAGUUGUACGAGUUAUAUUAGUUAUAUUCAGUCGAAUGAGAGAAUAAAAUAAGGAAGAUUGUGUGGCUGUUAAUUGUUCAGGUGCUUGAAAUUAAAGAAAGAGAAUGAGAGAGAAAGAAAAAUAAUUAUAAAUUCAAUGACCAAGAUUAAAACUCGCUAAUGUUGAGUUAUCAUUAAUGGCAAAACCGUCAUUUAUACAGCCUUUGGUCCAUAUAGAUUAAUUUUGGAUGUUGUAGAUUUUUUUUAAAGCAUUUGGUCUAUAUCAGAUUUUUGUCCCGACACCAAGGGUGUUUGGUGGUUCAAAACUUCAAAUCUAUGUUCGGCAAAUAGUUACAGAAACACAAGAACUUCGUUCACCUCCUUUUACUUCCAUUGCUUGUGUAAUAAUAUUACUACCCCUUAUGUUUACUCUAGUAAUCAUCGUUCUGCUUUUGUGUAAUUUACGAAGAAGAAUAUGUUACUGGAUCAAGUCUCUUAAAAUUAUUAUGCAAUCAUGUUUUUGAAACACACAUGUAUUCUUACAUGGCUUUGUGAAUGUCUUUCUUCUCGUUAUAAAUUAAUUAUGGAUUAAAUUUAAAUGUGUAAUUAAUUUCAAAUAUAUUAAGUUGUAUUCCAAAUUUCAGAAAACUUAAUUACCUAAACUAAUAUUAAGGUUGUUUCAAAUAUAUUAUUGGUAUUGACAUAUUUCUAUUUUAAUUAUAAUCUAAAACUAUUAAAUAGAUAUACAUUUUUAGUAGUAUACGUAUAUGAGAUUUCGUGUGAUCAAACGGGUUCUUUAUCUUGUCUAUGUAAUAACCAAUCAAUAAAGGUUGAAAACAGUGCUAAACAAUUGUUGAAGAACCAUGAUAUCCCCUAUAUAGUAAUUGAGGAUCUUUUAAAAAAUUAGAACAUUAAUUUUGUAUUAAUUAAAAAUACACAUCAUUCUAUGUGGCACUUCUAAAUGCUUUCUAAAUCUUAUUUCUAAGAAUUCUAGAGCACCUAAUAUAAACUAUAAUUUAAUAUAAUGUUGUCACAUAUUUACAUAAUAUAAAGUUAUCUAUUCUUUCUUUAAAUGAAACCUACGUAAUUACCUAAUGUGAUUAAAAUAUAUAUGGCAAUUAAUGAUUAUAAAUAAUAAAGAUUUGAUAACAAUCUUUACAUUUUUUUAUCAUUUUUGUUUAUUUCUUUAUUAUUAAAAUAAAUAACACAAUUACAUUAAUCAAAUAAAAAAAUAUAGAUAUUUUUGUAUAUGUUGUAUUUUGAAUUUUUCAAAACGAGUAUAAAUUACUAAAAUUGUUAAAAGUCUCACAUAAACUUUUGUGAUCAAAGUUUGAAUUUUUUUCUAUAUUAAAAUAUAAUGAUUAUAAGACCAUAUGAAUAAAUAAUUUUAUUUUAAUAGGUUUUAUGUUAAUAUAUAUGAAUCAUAUGAAAAUACAUACUUAUAUUUUGAUAUUUGCAUUAAAAAUAUAUUGAAAAAUUAAUAUUUUAAUUUUGAAAUCUUUAUUAUUUUUUUAAAUGAUUAUAAAUUAUUGAAACUACUAAACAUCCCACAUUAAAAAAAUCAUUAGUGUAAAACAAAUAUGCAAAUAAUCAUAAAAUUAUAUAAGUAGAAACUUCAUUUAAUAAAUAUCCAUAUUAAAAGUAUAAUAUAUAUCUAUGUUAAUAUCAUUUAAAUUUAAUUAUAUAUCAUAUACGAUAGGAAUCGUAUCUAUUUCUUUUAACUUGGAAAAUCAGAGACUUGGGUUGUAGAAAUUGUUGAUGUUUCUUGUAGGUUUCCUCAUACAUGGGAAAUUGUACCUUUUAUUAGGGUUUUAUCCCUUUGAUUUUAUGUUUUCUUACUUUUUUUAGUUGGUUGCAGGUUUGUUGUAGUCAUGGCUGAAAUAGAGGUUCCGGUGUACUGUUACUGGAACGGUUGCAUCAAGUAUGGCCCUGGAGGCGUAUACUAUGAAGGAGGAUCCACUCCUAAAAAGAUUAUCGUGCACCCAAAGAUUGCAUUAAACAGAUUGUUGGAUGAAAUGUAUAUGCUUACUGGAGUUGAUGUUGUUGAUAAGCAGAGAUCCAAAGUUAAAAUAUUUGGUAGGUAUCCUUCAGUUGUUGGAAAGUCCACGUUUCAGUAUCUUCUUCUGCCCGUGAUGAACAACCAUAGUUUGGAGACAAUGCUUGGGGUUCCUAGCAAACAUCCUUCUAUUAAAAUGUCGAAUUGUAUUUGGAAGUCAAACCUGAUGGAGUUGUUGAUCCUGCUGCUUGUUCCUCGAAACGACAGAGGACUGAUAUAUUUGUUAAGUUAGAAAGGGAUAACAGUAACAUGAUGACUGAAGACAAAGCAGAUGCUGUGGCGCUGGUGACAGGAGAUACCAUCAAUUCGCAUAAGGAUUUGGAAAAAUACUCUGGUUCUGGUGUUUUAAAACCUUGUAUUUCUAGUUUGUGGCUUGACGAUCAUGACUUGCGUGUAGGAUUGUGCUUUAAAGAUGUUGAUGAGCUGAAGAAGGCAGUGGACUGGUAUUCGAUUAACAGGCAGAAAAGGUGCGUAGUGCAAGAGACUGGGUAGGAUGAGUGUAUGUGAUGUGCCGCAGUCCACGGAUCAUUACAUGGAACCAGCUCAGCAUGGAGUUCAGGACGUUCUGAACAUUUCAACCGAGGUUCAUGUUUUUCACCAUGCCAGACUUGAGUUGGAUCAAGCCAGACUUGAGUUGGAUCAAGCCAGACUUGAGAAAGAUCAUGCCAGACUUGACUUGGAUCAUGAGGUUUCACAAAAUGAUCGAGACUUCUCUCUUUUGGUUCGAUUGGCCCAUAUUGCAUGUACCGGCGACCGUACUGAUGGACUGAUCGACCCUUUUGAUCAGUUCAUGCACUUUGAUCAGCCAAAUCUCACUAAGGCAAGGAUCAUUCACCUUUCUGAAGACAUAUGACGCACUUGGUCCAGUCUGGUUCAUGAUCCGGACAUGGUGGCUCAUACGGACAGUCCCACAUCCGUCCUUCUCUUUACCUGCGGUCCAUGCUUCAGGAUACAACGAACCUGGACAGAAGCCGAUCAGUCACAUUUAAUAAUCUGUCUUUAUUUUGUUUAAUGACUAGAUUUAGAUAUACUUUUCUAUUUAAUUCCUAGAUCUACAAAACUCUAUAAGUAUGAAACUCUUUCAUUUUAAUAAGGAGAAAUCGAUUUUGUCUAAAGCUUUUGAGUUAAACACUUUGUUCUUCGUUUAAGAACUUGUUCUUAGUUUCUUGGUGAGUCAUAUCCAAGUAAACACUUCUCUUUUUCGUUGGUCUUGUGAGUCAUAUCAAGCAACGGAUCGAGAUCUUCAUUUGGUGGACUUGUGAGUCAUAUCAAGCACCAUCUGAAGUCGGGAAUAUCGAAGGCCAAUCCGCAUCCUUCGUGAGACCUUUCAAUCCAACUAGUCCUCCAUCCGGAGUUCAUAUCAAAAUCUGAUCCAUUCGAGUGAGCCGAUCUUAGGGUCCUUCGGUAUGUAUGAGUGCGUUAGAUGGAAAUGCAAGUGGUCACUUGUUGCCACUAGAAUGGAAAAGCACGGACUUCUAGAGAUAGUCAAGUAUACCGGUCCUCAUACUUGUUAUCUCAAAAAUCCAGAAGAUUUUGAAUCGGAGUUUGAUGCAGAUGAGUUUGAACGUGUUGAAGAAGAAGUGGUGGAAAGAUAAAAGUGGCUAUCUGCUUGAAGAUAAAGACGUCCGAGAGGUGAAAGAGGAAGCGAUCAAAACUGUCUUUGGAGAUUGGGAUCAGAGUUUUGAAGAUUUGCCCAAGUUAAUGUCUGCCUUUUGUUCAUCUAAAAUGGACUGCUCGUGGACUGGAGAUAUGAUGUAUUUCCCAAUCCUAAGUUUGCAUCUUUCUGUGGGGUGUUUUGGGCAUUUUCACAGUCCAUCCAAGGGUUUAAGCACUGCAGACCUUUGAUCGUAGUUGGUACCAAAGAGUUGAAAGGAAAGUACAAGUUGAAGUUGAAAUUGAUGAUUGCCUCAGGGUUAGAUGCAGCCAACCAUUUUUUUGCCUCUGGCCUUUGCGGUGACCAAAGAAGUGUCCUCAGAUAGUUGGCGUUGGUUUCUCAGUGGAAUAAGAGAAAAGGUCACACAAAGAAAAGGCCUUUGCCUCAUCUCCAGUCCCCACCCGGACAUACUCGCCGCCAUUGACGAACUUGGAUCUCAGUGGGCUUAUCACAGGUUCUGCCUGAAACAGUUCGUUCAGUUGAAUGACUCAACCUGCUCAUGCGGGGACUUUCAAAGCAACAAGUUCCCAUGUCUACAUGCUCUAGCCGUCUGCAAGAAGCUGAAAAUCAACCCUUUGCAGUAUGUAGACGACUGUUACACUUGUGAACGGUAUUACAAAACUUAUGCUGCCACUUUUUCUCCUGUUCCGAGAUUGUUUCCUCCAGUCAUUCCUCCGUCUGUAGUACCAUGUAAGUCCCAACGCAAAACAACUCCUAAGACGACUAAUAAAAGGAAGAGCUGAGAAAUGUAGAUUUUCAUCUGAAUCGAACCGGGCAUUUUGGUAUGUUUAUGUAGUAUCUUGAGACUUUCGGAAGUAUGGUUAAUCCCGGUUUGAAUUUUAUGAUGUAGAUGCUGUAAUGGAAAACAGAACGUGUGUUGGUUUUUGUUUUUUUUUUUUGGUAUGUGAUGAUUAAUCCGGUUUCUGUGAGAAAUUUUGUCGAUCCCAUGAACCGAUACAAAAACAAAGCUAAACCGGAUCGGAAACUGAAGCCAACUGUCAUGUUCUUCACCAUCUCAUUCCGAAUCGUUUCUAUCUUGUUAUUGUUAGAAAUUAAAGAACAUAGUGAAGAACAAAAGAGAGAAAGAUAGAGAGAGUAAAGAAGGAUAAUCUUAUUCACUUGAUUAAUUUGCUUAUGAGAACAUCUCAUAUAUAUAGUGGUUACAAGUAUGGUAAAUGGUAGAUGAGAUAUGAUAAACUAAUAAUCCAUUGUUUUGAGACCUUAACCCACCAUGCAUGCUUGUCCCUUGUAGUGGCAUCUCCAUUGUCUUGAGACCUUAACCAACCAUGCAUGUUUGUCCCUUGUAGUGGUAUCUCCAUUGUCUUGAGACCUUAACCCACCAUCUUGUUUCUUAUUGCUUCAUUUUUACACUCCCCCUCAAGCUUGACCAUAGGAACUGGUCAAGCUUGGAAACCAUGAAGCAUUCCCUCAUUAAAACCUUUAGCUUGGAAAAACCUCAUGGGAUAAAAACCAAGCCAAGGAAAAAGAGUAGAACACUUCAUGACUAAGAGGAUCAGUGUGAUGAAAAAUCUACGAGUCCUAACUUGGAAUGUAUGAACUCGCAAACCUUGGUGCUUGCAGCCUUGGUGAAGAUAUCAGCUAGUUGAUCCUCACUUCUUGUAUAGCAGGGUAAGAUGAUCCUUUGUUCCACUGCUUGCCUAACUUUAUGACAAUCCACCUCAAUGUGUUUAGUCCUCUCAUGGAACACAUUGUUGGAGGCUAUGUGUAUUGCCGCUUGAUUAUCACAAUGCAUGGUGAUUGGAGUUGAUGUCUCUAUACCAAAGUCUUGAAGUAGGUUUCUGAUCCAAAUCAACUCACUAGUGAGCUUCCUCAUUGCCCUAUAUUCAGCUUCAGCACUUGAGCAUGACACUAUCUUCUGUUUCUUGCUCUUCCAAGUGACAAGAUUGCCUCCAAUGAAUGUACAAUAACCGGUAGUGGAUCUCCUAUCCACUCUGUCUCCUGCCCAAUCAGCAUCACAAUACCCAACUAUCUCUGUAUUUUUGUUGCAUCCCAUCCACACUCCUUGCCCUGGCGCCUCUCUUAGGUAUCUUAGGAUCCUUUCAACCAUGUUCCAAUGGUGUAUCUUGGGAGCUUGCAUAUUCUGGCUUACUUGGUUAACUGCAAAGCAUACAUCAGGCCUGGUGAUGGUGAGGUAUAUCAGCUUUCCUACCAUUCUUCUAUAGUGUUUAACGUCAGCAUAAGGCUUAUCUUCAAUCUCCCCCUCACGCAGCACCUUAUACCCAUCUUCUAGUGGAGUCUUGGCUACUCUCGCUCCAAGCUUUCCUGCCUCAUUCAAAAGAUCAAGUGUGUACUUCCUUUGAGAUAAGAAAAGCCCCUCUUUAGAGCGGCAUAUUUCUAUCCCUAGAAAGUACUUUAGCUCACCCAAAUCUUUAAUAUCAAAAGUAGACUUAAGAAAUACUUUGGUUGAGAUAAUACCUUCCUUGUCACUUCCUGUGAUGAUAAUAUCAUCUACAUAAAUAAGAAUCACCACAAUUCCUUGCUUGCUUGUGAGUGUGAAGAGUGUAUGAUCAGCUUCUGAUUUUACAAACCCUCUUCCAUUGAGAGUUGUACUCAGUUUGUGGUACCAAGCCCUUGGUGACUGUUUUAAUCCAUAGAUUGCUUUCUUCAACCUUAGGACAUUCCCUGGCUUGACCAUGUCUUCCAUACCCGGAGGUGGCCUCAUGUAAACCUCAUCCUCCAGCUCUCCUUGAAGAAAAGCAUUCUUGACAUCCAUCUGCCAUAAAUCCCAUUCCAAGUUCACUGCCAAUGAGAGUAGAAUUCUUAUGGUGUGGAGUUUAGCUACUGGUGCAAAUGUAUCCAGAUAGUCUUCUCCAUAGACUUGGGUGUAUCCUCUUGCAACUAGCCUUGUUUUCUUUCUUUCUGGUUUCCCAUUGGCAAGGUACUUGAUGGUGAAGAGUAGACGGCUUGUAACAGCUUUCUUUCCUUUGGGGAGCUCAGUUUCAUACCAAGUAUCAUUCUUGAUCAUGGCACCAACUUCAUCCCCAACUGACGCUCUCCACUCUUCAUGCUUCAUGGCUUCUUCAUAAGUCUUUGGUACAUACUCUUGAUCUAGGUUGCUGAUGAAGACUACAUGCUCUUCAGAUAGUCUCGCAAAAGAACAUGUUGCUUGGAUAGGAUGAGCUACUGCAUUGUUGUUGAAGUAUACUUUGGUGUCCAUCCACUGAGAUGGUUUCUUCACCCUUGUACUCCUCCUUAAUGGUUGAACUUCUUGUUGCAUUCCAUCUUGAUCAUUAACAACUUCUUCUUGGAUAGCUUCUUCUUGGAUAGCUUUCUUGUGGAUGGCUUCGUCAUGGAUAGCUUCUUCAUGGAUAGCUUCCUGAUGGAUGAUAGCUUCUUCACGGAUUUGCAAAUUAGGUUGAUUUCCUCCCUCAUGAUCAGGAUGGACUGCUUCUUCAACUGAUGCAGCUUCAUCCACAACUGGAGGUAUAGGUGAAGUGCUCGGUACGCCACUUGUUUGAGGCUGGCUGAUGCCUAGGUUUUCCAGAAUGAUUCUCAAGUUGUUUGCCCUAUCUGAAGAUCCUUGUGGGAGAUCCUGAAGACUGUCCCAAUUCUUCUCAUCAUAGUAUCCCUUUGAUUCCACAAACUUAACAUCCCUUGAGACCAUAACUCUUCUUGAUUCAGGUAUGUAGCACUUGUACCCCUUCUGCGCAUGAGUAUAUCCUAUGAACAUGCCUUUGGCACUCUUGGCUUCAAGCUUGUUUCUCUGUUCCCCUGGUAUCAAGACAUAGCACACACACCCAAAAACACGCAAGUGAUCAAUUGGAGGUUUUAUUUUGUUUAAUACCUGAAAGGGAGAGAUAUCUUGGAGGACUUUGGUGGGGAUCCUGUUGAUCAAAUAACAUGCUGAGACCACAGCAUCUCCCCAGAACCUCUUUGGAACAUUGGUAUGGAACAUCAUGCUCCUUGCAACCUCCAUAAGAUGGCGAUUCUUCCUUUCAGCAACUCCAUUCUGUUGUGGUGUGUAUGGGCAACUUGUUUGAUGGAUUAUGCCAUGUUUUGCUAAGUGAUGUUUGAAAGCAGUGCUUGUGUAUUCUCCGCCAUUAUCAGACCUAAAAAUUUUGAUCUUGGAAUUGAAAUGGUUAGAUACAUAGUUUUGGAAGUUAAUAAAAGCUUCUAAAACUCUAUCUUUAGUUUGAAUCAAGGUGAGCCAUGUAUAUUUUGAUUUCUGGUUGUAUCUGUUGGUUGAAGCAGGUCUGAGGUGAGGAUGGAGUAUCCAACAAUUGGUUUUUGAGUGGCCUAGAUUCUUGCAGUGCUCACAAGUCACAGACUUGUCUCCUCCUCUUCUUGAUUUGAAGUGUGCUUUGUUGCCUGAAGCACUCUCCAUCUUCUCAGCUUUGUUUGCCAUAGACAGCUCCUCUUUUCCACCAAAGAGACCAUCUGAGCCUAGCUCCUUCCAAAGUUGAGCACACACAUCAUCAUAGCUUGGAAGCUUUUUAGCUCUCAAUAUGUGUUUAAGUACAUCAUUGAAGCUUGGGUUGAGUGUGAGAAGCAAUCCAAAGACCUUGUCUUGCUCACGCCUCUCUUCUAGUGUACUAGGAUCAGUGGUACUUGGUCUCAGCAUCUCAAGUUCAGACCACAAGUGGCUGUACUUUCCAAGGUGUUUGGUGAAGUCCAUCUCCUCUUGCUGCAAGUUGUUGAUUGCCCUCUUAACCUCAAAUAUUCUGGUGAGGUUUGAAGUGUUGCCAUAUACCUUGUAUAAGGUAUCCCAUAGCUUCUUUGCAGUCUCACAGUGUGAGUAAGACUCCAUGAUAGGAAUAUCAAGUGAGCCUUGCAAGACAGACAGCACCAUGAGAUCCUCCUGACCCCAUUUGCCUUCAUCUACCACUACAACCUCCUUGACAUCUUCUCCUUGGGUGAUUUGUCUUGGGGCCUCACUUGUGGUGAUGUGCUCCCAUAGACCUCUUCCUCCAAGAGCUGUCCUGGUCAAUCUCGACCAAGUAAUGUAGUUAGGACCUUUCAGGGUGACUGGAAUCCUCACUAGCUGGUGUUGCUCCAUCUUUGCUUGCUACUGGGUAAAAGAAAAUGAAAGAGAUUCUGAAGAAAGUAAACCAAACAAGUGAAAGAGUAAGGUGAAUAGAAUAGAUUUGCGGAAGCAGUUUGGUGUUCAAGAGCUUUGAUGCUCUGAUACCAUGUUAGAAAUUAAAAAACAUAGUGAAGAACAAAAGAGAGAGAAAGAUAGAGAGAGUAAAGAAGGAUAAUCUUAUUCACUUGAUUAAUUUGCUUAUGAGAACAUCUCAUAUAUAUAGUGGUUAUAAGUAUGGUAAAUGGUAGAUGAGAUAUGAUAAACUAAUAAUCCAUUGUUUUGAGACCUUAACCCACCAUGCAUGCUUGUCCCUUGUAGUAGCAUCUCCAUUGUCUUGAGACCUUAACCAACCAUGCAUGUUUGUCCCUUGUAGUGGUAUCUCCAUUGUCUUGAGACCUUAACCCACCAUCUUGUUUCUUAUUGCUUCAUUUUUACAGUUAUCUCGCUUCCAGGCGGGCGGUAAAAUACAAACAAAUAACAUGUGUAUGUUAAGCUUAUCCCUUUGCUCUUUAAGAAAGUUUUUUUGUAAUCUGCAAGGAGGUGAGUGCGAUCCUAAAAUCGACAUUAGAAAUUUGUUAGUGUUUGUAAUAAGAUUAAAGAAGAAGAAUUUUGUGUACAACAAUAUCCUCAAACCAAAACAAAGUUGACGAAAAUGGACUUUAUGAAUAUAGAUCUCGAAUGUUUUACAAGAUAUGGAAAUGGUAAUCUAAACAAGGCUCAGAGGUGUGUUCAAACAUGUCAUGUCAUGUCUCUCCUUAAGGUGAGCCUCAAACUGAGAAUCAAAAUAAAGAUAAAGACUGAAAUGGGUAAGUGAAGAGUUUGAAGUCGAUAGGUUAGUGUGUUCAAAUAUGUCAUGUCUCCUUGCUCUCAUCUCUCAUCUUUUUUUUGGUUUUUGAUAUUUUCUCUUCUUCUCAUCAUUCCGAUCUCGGAAAUCUCGGACGCUCAGUGGUCACCACGAAAAAAGUUGAGUGUUACAAUCUAGUUAAUCACACAAUUAUGAAAAAUGUUCUUGGGUGGGCCUAAAAAUGGCAAAAGAAAGUCAAAUCAAAGUGUGAAUGUUUGGCUUGGCCCAUUGUAUUGUAUUCUUCUACGGUUCUACCUCCCGCCCAUAGAACAAAUAAAAGAGACCGACAUUUGUGUCCUCCUCCUCCUUGUUUCAGAUUACAUCUCAUAGAUGCUACUAGAACCAUUUGCCCUACACGCUUUCCACGUGUCAGUCUCUCUUCCCACAGAAAUCCACUUUGUGGUCUUUUUCUGUUUUCUUUUAUAAAAGAUAAACAGAAUCCUUCUUUCUUAUCCUACUCAAUAAAAUAUCUGAAACGUAGAGAAGAAAGAAGAAGAAAAGAUGACGACGCAGAAGAAAGAGAUGGAAGUGGUGAAGGAUCUUGACUUGGAGAGAUACAUGGGCCGUUGGUACGAGAUUGCUUCUUUCCCUUCCAUUUUUCAGCCCAAGAACGGUGUUGACACUCGCGCCACCUACACCCUCAACCCUGACGGCACGGUGCACGUCUUGAACGAGACGUGGAACGGUGGCAAGAGAGCUUUCAUCCAAGGCUCAGCCUACAAGACUGAUCCUAAGAGCGACGAGGCUAAGUUCAAA
rnacentral:lncRNA from 1 species